rnacentral:rRNA from 1 species
GUAGUCUCGCACAGAUGCAUAUCAAUAAGCGGAGGAAAAGAAACUAACAAGGAUUCCCUUAGUAACGGCGAGUGAAGCGGGAAGAGCUCAAAUUUGAAAUCUUCAAGGUUUUACCUUGACGAAUUGUAGUUUAAAGAAGUGUUUUCUGUUGAAGUUUUGGUAAAAGUUCUUUGGAAUAGGACAUCAUAGAGGGUGAGAAGUCCCGUAUUUGACCAUUAUUUUCAGCUGUGUGAUACACUUUCAAAGAGUCGGAUUGUUUGGGAAUGCAGUCCAAAAUGGGUGGUUAAUUUCAUCUAAAGCUAAAUAUUGGCGAGAGACCGAUAGCGAACAAGUACCGUGAGGGAAAGAUGAAAAGAACUUUGAAAAGAGAGUUAAACAGUACGUGAAAUUGUCAAAAGGGAAGCGUUUGACACCAGUGUUGUUUUCUCGAAAAUCAAUUAAAAAGAGUUAGAUUUUGUUGUGUAUUGACCUUAACAGCUUGCAUUUCAAUUUUCUUGCUUUUUUUAAUGCACUUUUCGUUUAACAAGUCAACAUCAGUUUCUUUUGUUGUAAAAAGGUCAUUGGAAGGUGGCUUUCUUUUCGGAGAAAGUGUUUAUUAGCCUUUGACUCCUGCAAUCGGAGAGACUGAGGUCUGCAGCGUAGAUCCUUCGGGGUUAGAUACAUUUGUGCUAAGUUAUAGCUUUUUAUAGACAACUUGUUGACUAUGAUUAGUCUUGUAGCUUACUCGCUUAUGCUAUUUUACCUACGCUUAGGAUGUUGAGCGCAUGUCUCUCUCU